rnacentral:rRNA from 1 species
UACAGAGGGGGCAAGCGUUGUUCGGAAUUACUGGGCGUAAAGGGCGCGUAGGCGGCCUGUUAAGUCGAACGUGAAAUCCCCGGGCUCAACCCGGGAACUGCGUCCGAUACUGGCAGGCUUGAAUCCGGGAGAGGGAUGCGGAAUUCCAGGUGUAGCGGUGAAAUGCGUAGAUAUCUGGAGGAACACCGGUGGCGAAAGCACUUUACUGGGCUAUUACUAACACUCAGAGACGAAAGCUAGGGUAGCAAAUGGG